CGAGGAGUGCCUCGGGUCAUGUCUACAUAGUUCUCGAACCCGCAGGGUCUACACACUUAAGGUUCGAUGAUGUUUAAUUAUAGUUGAGUUAUAUGUGUGGUUACCGAAUCUUGUUCAGAGUCCCGGAUGAGAUCACGGACGUCACGAGGGUUUCCGGAAUGGUCCGGAAACGGGUAUUGAUAUAUAGGAUGGUUUCAUUUGGUCACCGGAAAGUUUUGGGCAAUUCCGGCAGUGUACCGGGAGUGACGAAUGGGUUCCGGUUGUUUACCGGGAGGGGCCCACCCACCCGGGAGUGAGCCCAAGGCCCUAGGGUGGCGCCACAAGUCCUUAGAGGGCUGGUGGAGUCAUCCCAAGAGGGCUAUGGCGCCACAUAAAGAAAAUACCAAAAGAAAAGAAAAAGAAAAAGGAAAGAGGGAGGUGGGAAGGAAGAGGAAGCCUCCUCCUUCCCAAACCGAAUUGGAGGAGGAAUCCUCCUCCUCCUAGCGGCCGGUGCACCUUGAGGGACUUGUCCCUCAAGGCUAGCCCCUCCCCCUCCCUCCUAUAUAUAGUGGUGGUUUAGGGCUUUUUGAGACACAACUUUGCCACGUGCAACUCUAGCCUAUACCGCAUAGUUUUACCUCUAGAUAGGAUUUCUGCGGAGCUCGGGCGGAGCCCUGCAGGAGUACAUCAUCACCACCACCGGAGCGCCGUCAUGCUGCCGGGGAACUCAUCUACUUCUCCGUCUUGCUUGCUGGAUCAAGAAGGCCAAGAUUAUUGUCGAGCUGUACGUGUGCUGAAUGCGGAGUUGUCGUCCAUUCGGCGCUAGAUCGGAACGGAUCGUGGGACGGAUCGCGGGAUGGUUCGUGGGAUGGUUCGAGGGAUGUGAAGACGUUCCACUACAUCAACCGCGUUUCUUAACGCUUCCCAGUGUGCGAUCUACAAGGGUACAUAGAUCUAAUCUCCACUCGUAGAUGGACAUCACCAUGAUAGGUCUUCGUGUGCGUAGGAAAUUUUUUGUUUCCCAUGCAACGCUCCCCAACAAAUACAGGAUGCCACAGUGACUCCUUCCGCUGCCAAUGAUUCAUUGCACUCUCAUAUUUGGAGUAGCUUAUCAAUAGUCCGUCUGAACCCUUUGGGAGUGGACCCAUGUUCGGGACUCCGUUGUCAGCCAACACUCUUGGGUUCGGUUGACUGCCCAAUGCCAUGUGGUCGUCCUCGGGCAAGGAAGGCUGUGCGCAUCUCCUGAUUCGAUCGGCCAAGGUCCUUAAAACGUGCAGGACGAAAGUUGCUACGGUAAGGUUUAAAAAUCGGUUUGUAUACCUUUUUGCCGAAGGGGCAACUGGUGUGGUUUCUUUCGCUACCUAUUGCUCAGGAAUUCCGCCCUUGCUUGACAAACCCCUACCGGUUUAGUAUGAAUAGUGGUCCGGCAUGCGCUCCGGCGACCCCUAGGCACGGCCCCUCGUCGGGCAACAGUUUUUCUCUUACUCCCUGAAGAGGGAAAGGACCUGGGUUUGUUGGCUAUAAGGGCCACCUUCUUCUCUUCAACACUCUCUUGAUAAAACACCUCGUCUUGAAAGAUAAUCGAAAGCUCUGGGUCUUCAUGAAACCGGGAGUCAUCUUUAUGGGCAAAGUCCUCGAGUUGGGGUGUGGGAUAGUUUACCAUCUCGAUCCAGUGGUUCCAGAGCUACGAAGGAGGUAUAGGAGUUAUAAAUCAAACAAUAAUGGGCAUGAAUGCCCAAAACUUUGAACAUGAACACAAUUACCCAUUCGACGGGGUUAUAUGCCGAAUAGCCAUCCUUCGGGGUGAGGCGGGUAAAAUCUUCUUUUUCCCCCUUGAAGAUAUCGGUCAGAAUGGCCCCUAAGGCCUUCUCGUCAUCCGGUCCUUGCCUUCUGGAUCGGGUUGAAUCGCUCGUCCCACUGUAAUGCCACAAAGGAUGUGUGCGAUGUUGGAGUGGUUGGACGCACUGGGUAAUCACUGCGGCCAUCACAUCAAUGAUAGUUAGCCAGCUAUGAGUAAGCACCCUGGCCUUGGAGGAUAGGCGCUUCACUUCAGAGCUGUCCUCGUGGGAAGAGCUCUUUGGCCCCCAGCUGAAUCGCUUCUUUAAAGGAAUCACAAAGUAUUCGGGAAGGCCUCUCCGAACUGGGUCAGAUAGUGGAACAUCCACAAUAUAAAACCAUUCCGAGGGCCACUCGUCAAGCUCCUUCUUCGACAUCCCAAUCGGGUAUCCUAUGGCGGCUAUGUGCCAUACUUCGGCUCCACCUACUUCCCGAAUUGUCAUUCCUCUAGUUCGGAGAAUGAUGGAGAAGUACUUUCUCCAUAGAUCAAAGUGGGGCUCGCAACCCAAGAACAUCUCGCAUAAGGCCACGAAGCCUUAGAUAUGAAGGAUGGAACUAUGGGUGAGAUUGUGGAGCUACAACCCGUAAAACUCCAAUAACCCCCUUAGGAAAGGGUGAAUAUGGAAUACCACCCCUCACAACAGGAAGGAAACGAAGCAAACCCGUUCUCCCCUUUGCGGGGAAGGGAAGUUUUCCGCGAAGGCUUUUCCAUCAAUGGAGGUCAGACCGGUGUGAGUGGGUGCGAGGUCUGAUUGGGGAAGAUACCCCUGAGUUUUGAGCUCGUGCGGGCGGAUGAGAGAAACGGUGCAACUAGCCUAGUCCCCCGAAAGGGGGCCGAGGGGGCUUGAAGAGGAACAUUCCAUGACUCCGGAGAUGUUAAGAGCUCUAGGGUUUCUUCGCGAGGCUGGGAGGCGAUGGAGCCUCAAAACAGAUCUCGAUCUGUUUACAAAGGGUGUUAACCCCUCUUGUUAUAGGGAUUCAUCAUUUCUUGCUCGGAGGAUACAGAGGAACAUGCCUUGCAUACUGAACACUUUGGGCGUGAUCAUCCGAAGACCCUACACAUUAGCAUGGAAGGCUACUUCAGGGGCUACUAAGAGAGUCCGGGAUUAAGGGGUCCUCAGGUAGUUGGCUUACUAUGAAGAGGUUAGCCUGAUGGACCGUACAAGUUGGAGGUUGGGUGUCUCGUGCUUAAGGAGGAAAGCACCGAAGACCGGCAUGACAUCCAAGUAAUGUAGAUUAGGUCGAUUGUAUGUAACCCUAGGUCCCGGAUACGUCUCCGUCAUAUCUACUUUUCUGAACUCUUUUGCCCUUGUUUUGGACUCUAAUUUGCAUGAUUUGAAUGGAACUAACCCGGACUAACGCUGUUUUCAGGAGAAUUACCAUGGUGUUGUUUUUUUGCAGAAAUAAAAGUUCUCGGAGUGUUGUGAAAAUUUACGGAGAAUUUUUCUGGAAUUAAUGAAAAAUACCUGCGCAAAGAUCCACCGGAGGAGGUGAGCCAGUGGGCCACAAGCCCAGGGGGCGCGGCCACCCCCCCAGGCCGCACCAACCAGGCUUGUGGGGUCCACGAGGCUCCACCACCUCCAAACUCAGCUCUAUUUAUUCCGUUUCACCCGGAAAAAAUCAGAGAGAAGGAUUCAUCGCAUUUUACGAUACGAAGGUGCCGCCACCUCCUGUUCUUCAUCUGGAGGGCAGAUCUGGGUUCCGUUCUGGGCUCCAGAGAGGGGAAAUCGUCGCCAUCGUCAUCAUCAACCUUCCUGCAUCACCAAUUCCAUGAUGCUCUUCACCGUUCGUGAGUAAUCUCAUUGUAGGCUUGCUGGACGGUGAUGAGUUGGAUGAGAUCUAUCAUGUAAUCGAGUUAGUUUUGACGGGGAUUGAUCCCUAGUAUCCACUAUGUUCUGAGAUUGAUGUUGCUACUACUUUGCCAUGCUUAAUGCUUGUCACUAGGGACCGAGUGCCAUGAUUUCAGAUCUGAACCUAUUACGUUGUCGCCAAUAUAUGUGUGUUUUAGAUCCUAUCUUGCAAGUUGUAGUCACCUACUAUGUGUUAUGACCCGGCAACCCCGGAGUGACAAUAGCCGGAACCACUCCCGGAGAUGACCAUAGUAUGAGGAGUUCAUGUAUUCACCAAGUGUUAAUGCGUUGGUCCGGUUCUUUAUUAAAAGGAGAACCUUAAUAUCCUGUAGUUUUCAUUAGGACCCCGCUGCCACGGGACGGAUGGACAAUAGAUGUCAUGCACGUUCUUUUCCCUAAGCAUGUAUGACUACAUAUGGAAUACAUACCUACAUUAGAUUGACAAAUGGGAGCUAGUUACAUAUCUCUCCGGGUUAUAGUUGUUACAUGAUGAAUCACAUCCGGCAUAAUCAUCCAUCACCGAUCCAGUGCCUACGAGUCUUUUACUACUAGUCCUUUCUACGUUACAUUGUCGCUACUACUGUUGCUGCUGCUGUUGUUACUCUGUUGCUACUGCUGUUACUCUACUGCUAUUGGUUACUGGUGUUACUUGCUACUGUUGUCACUACUGUUGUUACUUGUUACUUUGCUGCUACCUGCUGCAAGACUUUUCUGGCGCCAUUGAUACAACAAGUCAGGAAUAGCCUGCCGUCAACACACCUUUUUCUGGCACCGUUGCUAACGUACCACUUUGCUACUGAUACUUUGCUUGCAGACACUAAUCUUUCAGGUGUGGUUCAAUUGACAACUCAACUGCUAAUACUUGAGAAUAUUCUUUGGCUUCCCCUUGUGUCGAAUCAAUAAAUUUGGGUUGAAUACUCUACCCUCGAAAACUAUUGCGAUCCCCUACACUUGUGGGUUAUCAAGACUAUUUUCUGGCGCCGUUGCCGGGGAAGCACAACUAUAUUCUCUGACUCACUUGGAAUUUACGUCUGCUGAUCACUAUGAGGAAUCCGAUAGAUCCAAGAACUAAAGUCUUGCCCUCAACUACGAGGACAGGUAAGGAACUGCCAUCUAGCUCUGCACUUGAUUCAUCUUCAGUUAUGAGUAAGUUUGCAACAUCACCUCCUGCUAGAAAUCUUGAUAUGUCGCCUGUGCUUGAUGAUGCUACUUCUGCUUCCCAUGAUGCUUAUGAUGAUGCUAUGCUUGAUACUAUGCCUGAUGAUGCUAUGCUUGAUACUAUGCCUGAUGAUGCUAUGCUUGAUACUAUGCCUGAUGAUGCUAUGCUUACUACUUUGCCUGAUGAUGCUAUGCCUGAUACUGCUUUGCCACUAGGUGCAUUCCUUGAUGCACAAAUUGCUAGAGUUGCUUCUAGAUGUGAUGAUAUUUCUGAAACUGCUGAUACUAUUGAAGUAGAACCUGCUAUUUUGCCUGCUAGAACUAGCUCUCCUAGACCUGAUAUGCCUGUUAUGCCUGAGCGUUAUGUUAUGGAGGGAGAGAUAGCUGAGGAUUUUCUUGCGUGUAAGGAUAGCUAUGAUGUUGAGAAAUUACUGCGCAAGUGGAAAUAAAAAUGUCUAAACACGAGGAUGAAAUACGACCCGAAGUUUGCCACUUCACCUAUCUUUGUGACCGAUAAGGAUUAUGAAUUCUCUGUUGAUCCUAAGUUAAGCACCCAUGCCCUUUCCUCCCAAACCAUCCAAGAAAAAGGAUGAUGAGGAUUUUGAGCGCUUUGUUGAAAUGAUUAGACCUGUCUUUCUACAAAUGUGUUUGACGAAUAUGCUCACGAUGUCUCUGUAUGCGAAGUACAUGAAAUAUAUUGUGACUAAUAAGAGGAGGAUACCCGAGGUUGAGAUUUCCACCAUGCUCGCUAAUUAUACCUUCAAGGGUGGAACUCCCAAGAAACUAGGUGAUCCCGGUGUGCCCACUAUACCUUGCUCCAUUAAAGGCAACUACGUUAGAACUGCGUUAUGCGACCUUGGAGCCGCUGUUAGUGUUAUGCCUCUCUCUCUUUAUCGUAGACUUGAACUGGAUAAGUUGACACCCACUGAAAAUCUCUGUGCAAAUGACCGACAAAUCAACUGCUUUCCCUAUCGCCAUUUGCGAGGACGUGCCUGUUGUGGUUGCUAACGUCACUAUCUUAUCAGACUUUGUUAUCUUGGAUAUUCCCGAGGACAAUGCCAUGGAAGUCAUCCUUGGAAGACCCUUUUUAAACACCGCACGGGCUGUUAUAGAUUGCAACAAAGGCAAUGUCAUUUUCCAUGUCAACGGUAAUGAGCAUACGGUGCACUUUCCGAAGAAACAAUAUCGAGUACAUUGCAUCAAUGCUAUCGAAAAAACUUCAUCGAUUCUUAUUGGGAGCUUUGAAUGCCCUAUUCCUUGUGUCAAGAUGAAGUAUGAUUCGCUUGUUGGGGAAAUACACAUCGCCAUUGAGGUGACAUAGUGACUAUUCGAAAAUUCUCCGUCUUCUUUUGCGAUUCGAGAAGUUUUGUCGAGGGGAAUUUGAUCAACCCCAUUGACGGAUUUCUUUCGAUGACCAUGAGAUGGAUGAAUCAAGGAGUCACAAACCUCUGUUUUAAGCUUUCAUCUUUGGUUGCUUAGAAGAAAGAUGAUAGAUUUAGUUUAGUUUUCCCUGUUUUCUGUUUUAGCGUCCGGUAGAAAAGUACCGCGAAAAUAAAAGUUCUCCGAACGUCGUGAAAAUCAAGUAUGAUUUUUGCUGGAUUUUUUGAAAAAUACUGAGACGAAGAGCUUGUCUGGGGGCUGCACCAGUGGGCCACAAGCCCAGGGGGCGUGGGCACCCCCUUUCCGCGCCACCCAGGCUUGUGGGGUCCACAGGCACCCCCUCCACUCAUUCUUGCUCUCAUCUGGUUCUCCUACCUCCAGAAAAAAUCGUUUCGCAACUCAAACCUGUGUUCUUGCUCCUCUUGCUGGGAUUUCUGAUUUCUUUGCUGAAAGCACCAUUCUCCGAACUGUUUUGGGGAAAUUACUCCUUGUUAAGUGACUCCUCCAUUGGUCCAAUUAGUCUUUGCUCUAGUGCCUCAUACUUCGCGUAUUUUUGCUGCCUUGAUGACCAUGUUCUUGAGCUUUGCAUGCUAAUUUUAGAUGGUCCCAAGUAGUUUUGAUGCGUAAUAUGGCCUCUAGGCACUUGUGGGGGUAGUUGCUACGAGUUUUGUUGAGCCUUGUUCACUUUUCCUUAGAGUCACUAAAAAUUUCAGAAAUUUUCAGAGAUAGAAAAGGGAAAAUAUGAGGAGGUUCUGAAGAGGCUCUUCAAGCCGUGACCCCAAGGAUGAUGGGAGUGAGAAGAAGCCCAAUUAUCUGGUCCGUCGAGUCCUGGAAGUUCGAGCGUGCGAGUGGCCAAGCGACGUGUUCUUACGCGCCGCCGGAAUUUAUGAGGACUUUUAUCACUCGGUGGAGAACGCAGGCCUUACCGCCUUCGUUGAAGAUAAGUGUCUGCAAUACCUCCUCCUCACUAAUAUCUUCGUACAAAGCUUUAACUUCUAUCCAAGGAAGAAUCCUCCUAUGGUUGUGUUCAAACUUUAUGAUAUCCCCCAGGGCAUGUCACUCCAGGAUUUUUGCAAUGUUUGCAAAUUACCUUACGUUGGGGAUAUUCGUGAAUCUCGUGCACGGGACUUAGAAUCUUUCAUCGAUACAAUUGCCGUAGGAGAGGAGAGAGGAGUGUCUUGUGCUAGAGCUGCUAGCAUUCAUUUUCCCGUGCUUCGGUACUUCUCAUUAUUUGUGGGAAAAUGUUUGAUUGGCCGUGGGAAAGCUGGGUCACUUAGUUCCCCAGAUCUUAAGGUCUUGCGCGAAGCACUUUAUAAUGAUAAAACUUAUAGCUUGGGCGCUAUAGUAGCUCAAUGGUUGAACACGAACCGUUAUAAAGGCAUUGUCUAUGGAGGUAUCUAUGCUACUCGUCUUGCCGGACACUUUGAGAUACCUAUUAGACUGGACGAGGAAGAAGAGAUUCUUCUUCCCAAAAAAUAUCUAGAUUAAGAUAGCAUGGUUCGCCAUGACUUUCUUUAUAGAGAUAUAAAUAGAAGGAUGAUUUAUAACCUGGUAUUUAGCCAGGGUACUCGUGAGACUAUUACUUUGCCUGCUCCUUCUUUGUUCAAUCUUCAUGCAGGGAGGUACAUUAUUAUGCCCUCGGACAUCACCGCAUAUUGGGGCUUGGCCCAACCAUAGGUGCCCAUGCCCGAGCCACCAGUCGAGUACCAGAUGCCAGUUUAUCAGUGGGAGCCACAGGAGCUCACACAGCAGUGGCAUCGUCAGUCCACUCUGGAGUACCCCGGAGCUGGUUAUUUCCCUCCUUGGGAGUAUACCAACUUAGGCCAAAAGUGUAAGCUUGGGGGAGUACGUGUUUCUCACCGACUUUACAUUCUUGCUUAUGCUUUCACUUUGUUCGUUGGUGUUCACACUUUGCCACUGUAUCAUCCAUGCUAGUUUAUUUUCUUUUUCUCAUUUUCUUUUCGUGUGUUUGCCUAGUUUGAGAAAACCCAAAAAGAUUUUCUUUUUCUUCUUUUGCUUGUUGGGAGCUUUCUCGUGUAAAUAGUUUUCUUUUCUUUGGGUCAAGGUAGAAGACCAUGGUUACAAUGUUUAGUGGCUCUUGCAUGCAUACCUGUUUUGCUUUCAAAGAGCCAUAUUACUUUGUCUUCUCCUUUGUGUUUUCCUACAGGUUCCAGCUUUAGUCCAAUGCACGAGCACUCUUAUUAUUGUUUUUAUCGUUCGAUCGUACAAGUGAAAGGCAAUAAUGACGAUAUAUGAUGAAGUGACUGAGCCUGGAAAAGCUGGUAUGAACUCGAUCUAUUUUGUUCUUGUAAAUAUGACUAGCUCAUUGUUCCUAGUUCAACUUUGUUGUGAGAGAAACAUGUUUGCAAUGACAACUUAGAGAUCAUAGUUGCUGAUGCCAUGCUUACUUAGCUAGGAGCUUAUAAUGGUCUGUCUUGGUUGGCAACAUGAAUGUUGAGAUGACUAUGAUGUAGUAUGAUAGGAUGGUAUCCUCCUUUGAAUGAUUCAAGCGGCUUGACUUGGCGCAUGUUCACACAUGUAGUUGAAACAAAAUCAACAUAGCCUCUAUGAUAUUCAUGUUCAUGGUGAUUUAUGUCCUACUCAUGCUUGCACUCAAUGUUAGUUUAUCUCAAUGCAUUUUGAGGACCGUUGUCGCUCUCUAGUUGGUCGCUUCCCAAUCUUUUGCUUGCCUUCACUUGUACUAAGCGAGAAUACUGCUUGUGCAUCCAUUUCCAUAACCCCAAACUUGUUCCAGAUGAGUCCACCAUACCUACCUAUGUGCGGUAUCUACCUAUCGUUCCAACUAAAUUUGCAUGUGCCACUCUCUAAAUCUUCAAGAAAUAAUCUAUUUUGCAUGCCCUAACCGCUCAUGUAGUGACAGGGGGCUAUUAGUAUCUUCCAUGCUAGGCGUGUUAUCCUCGAUAUGUGUUUAUUCACUAUCAUUCAUGAGAAAGGGGCCGGUAAUUGGAAUUCCCAGUUCCAUGCUCAAAUCGAAAAGAUAAUUGCAAACAAAACUCCCCCAGGAUUGAUGUUGGUAUGGAUGGUACCCGAGGAUUCGGCUAGCCAUGGAGUGUGAUUGAUUGGUGGUGGGGGAGUCAAAACUUUACUUUUUUGUUUGGGAACCGCCUAUAGCAUGUGUAGCGUGGAAGAUGUUGAGAACUCUUAGUCAUUGCGUCGACAAUGAAAGCAUGCCACCGAAAAUUAUUAUCUCUGUUUUCAAAGCUUGAGCUCUGGCACCUUUGCAAAUCAAUGCUUCCCUCUGUGAAGGGCCUGUCUAUUUAUGUUCCUGUUGAGUCAUCCUCCUCUUAUAAAAGCUCCAAUUAGAGAGCACCUCUGUCAUUUUUAUGCUUUUGUUUUAACUAUGUUGGGUAUGACUGUGACUGGAUCUUCUUUGCCAUGAAUUACAAUGUUUAGUCAGCCCUUGGUCUUUGAAGGUGCUCUGCAUUUAUGUUUUGCGGUCUCAGAAAGAGCUAGCGAGAUACCAUCUGUUUGCACUGAUUCAUGUUGUUUUGAUUGAAGUGUUGACAUUUGAGGCUUAUUAUUAUUUUCUCGCUAGUUGAUUAUGCCAUUGAUAUGAGUCUACCGUGAGACCUAGAUGUCAUUUUCUUAUGUGGUUUGCUUGUGAUCUUGCUGAAACUAUGGAUAUGAGUUAGACAUAGUUGCAGCAACAAGAUCAAACAGAGUUCGUCGAAGUUUUUCUUUUGUCUCUUUCAGUUUGUCAACUGAAUUGCUUGAGGACAAGCAAGGCUUUAAGCUUGGGGGAGUUGAUACGUCUCCGUCGUAUCUACUUUUCCGAACUGUUUUGCCCUUGUUUUGGACUCUAAUUUGCAUGAUUUGAAUGGAACUAACCCGGACUAACGUUGUUUUCAGGAGAAUUGCCAUGGUGUUGUUUUUGUGCAGAAAUAAAAGUUCUCGGAAUGUCCUGAAAAUUUAUGGAGAUUUUUUCUGGAAUUAAUGAAAAAUACCUGCGCAAAGAUCCACCGGAGGAGGUGAGCCAGUGGGUCACAAGCCCAGGUGGCGCGGCCACCCCCCAGGCCGCACCAACUAGGCUUGUGGGGCCGACGAGGCUCCACCGCCUCCAAACUCAGCUCUAUUUAUUCCGUUUCAGCCGGAAAAAAUUAGAGAGAAGGAUUAAUCGCGUUUUACGAUACGGAGGCGCCGCCACCUACUAUUCUUCAUCUGGAGGGCAGAUGUGGAGUUCGUUUUGGGCUCCGGAGAGGGGAAAUCGUCUCCAUUGUCAUCAUCAACCUCCCUCCAUCGCCAAUUCCAAGAUGCUCUUCACCGUUCGUGAGUAAUCUCAUCGUAGGCUUGCUGGACGGUGAUGAGUUGGAUGCGAUCUAUGAUGUAAUCGAGUUAGUUUUGACGGGGAUUGAUCCCUAGUAUCCACUAUGUUCUAAGAUUGAUGUUGCUACUACUUUGCCAUGCUUAAUGCGUGUCACUAGGGCCCGAGUGCCAUGAUUUCAGAUCUGAACCUAUUAUGUUGUCGCCAAUAUAUGUGUGUUUUAGAUCCUAUCUUCCAAGUUGUAGUCACCUACUAUGUGUUAUGACCCGGCAACCCCGGAGUGACAAUAGCCGGAACCACUCCCGGAGAUCACCAUAGUAUGAGGAGUUCAUGUAUUCACCAAGUGUUAAUGCAUUAGUCCGGUUCUUUAUUAAAAGGAGAACCUUAAUAUCCCGUAGUUUCCAUUAGGACCCCGCUGCCACGGGAGAGAUGGGCAAUAGAUGUCAUGCAAGUUCUUUUCCCUAAGCACGUAUGACUAAAUACGGAAUACAUGCCUACAUUAGAUUCACGAACGGGAGCUAGUUACAUAUCUCUCCGUGUUAUGGCUGUUACAUGAUGAAUCACAUCCGGCAUAAUCAUCCAUCAGCGAUCCAAUGCCUACAAGUCUUUUACUACUGGUCCUUGCUACGUUAGUUUGUCGCUACUACUGUUGCUGCUGCUGCUAUUACUGUGUUGCUACUGCUGUUACUCUGGUACUACUCGUUACUGCUGUUACUUGCUACUGUUGUUACUUGUUACUUUGCUGCUACCUUCAGCAAGACUUUUCUGGCGCCAUUGAUACAACAAGUCAGGAAUAGCCUGCCGUCAACAGACCUUUUUCUGGCACCGUUGCUAUCAUACCACUUUGCUACUGAUACUUUGCUUGCAGACACUAAUCUUUCAGGUGUGGUUGAAUUGACAACUCAGCUGCUAAUACUUGAUAAUAUUCUUUCGCUUCCCCUUGUGUUGAAUCAAUAAAUUUGGGUUGAAUACCCUACCCUCGAAAACUGUUGUGAUCCCUACACUUGUGGGUUAUCAGUCCCCUAGUGAUUAUAUAAACCGAGGGUCCUCAUCCAUGUAGACAGGUUGAUUCACCUAGGGUUUAGUAUACAUGAUCUCGAGGUAGACUCUGUAAUCAUCAUCCACAUCGAUAUAAUCAAAAAGGACGUAUGGUUUUACCUCCUCAAGAGGGCCCGUACCUGAGUAAACAUUGUCUCCCCAUCUGUCCUGCAACCCAUCUAUCUAAGAUCCACAGUUCUGGAACCCCUACCCGAGAUCUGCCAGUUUCGAUGCCGACAGCUUGCCCCCUUCAAAAAGUCAUCCACGACCUUGAUGACCAUGGGCAGGAAUGGAACCAAGAUGAGGUCGUUAGACCGUCAUGCCAUUGUGCCUAGACAACGCGUGGAUUCAUCACAUGUUCAUGUACAUGGGGCUCAAAAUGAUGCUAUAGUCGCUAAAAAGCAAGAAAAUUUGUACAUAUGGUAUAAAAUGUCGCUAAUCGACUUUUUUCCCAUCUAUAAAACUUUGUAAUACAAUGUUAACCUCAAAUUAGUAUUUUUAAUCUGUUGAAUUGAGUGUGAGACUAUUAAAUUGAUGAAAAAGAAAACAAAAUAUCUAGAGCUAACAAAUAUGAUGACUAUGUUUUUACAUAUGGUCUCCGUAGGCUCCAAAUGCAUAUGGAAUAUGAUCCAUAUAUAUUGUGAAGGUUGCCCAUAUUACGAUUGGUCUAGACUUGAUCUUAGAGCAUCUCCAACCGGAUUGGGCAAAUAUGCCUUCACAUGUCCACGGACAACAUCUGCUUUCCCUCAUUUGUCCUUGGCCUCAACCGCCCCCUCAUUUCCCCUUCCCAAAUCAAUACAAAUCCAUGCAACGUCGAUCACGCAGGAAUGAAAAUAGUACACACUAGUAGAAAAUGCCCAUUUGUCCCGGUUCCAGAGGCCCAUUAGCCCCGGUUCUUGAACUAGGACUAAAUGGUCAGGACUAAAGCCCAAAACCUUUAGUCCCGGUUCGCUUACGAACGGGGACCGAAUGGUCUCCACGUGGCCGCUACGGCGAGCCCGAGCAGGAGGUUCUCUAGUCCCGGUUGUCCACACCAACCGGGACAACAUGGUAUCCACGCGUCAGCAUCUGCCCGGGCUGCGGUUUUUGUUUUUUUAUCGCGGGGGGGGGGAGGGGGGUUGGAGGGUUAAUUUAGUGGUUUCAUAUUGUGUUAGCUAGCUAAUAGAGAGAAGUGUCCUCUCUUUCUCCAUGCUUGGUCGACGCUAACUACUAUACAUAUAGAGAGAACAUGACGCUAGCUAAUAAGAAAAUGAAGGAAAUGAUUUACAAUACUUAACAUCUUUUACAAUGCCUAACAUCAUCUACCAAAGAUACAAUCACAAAUAUCCCACAUGAUAUUCUCCGUCGCUAGGUAUGACGUGGUCAAGAAGGAAACCCGCCAAUUCCUCUUUAAUUGCUCGUAUGCCAUCAUCUGAUAGGCGUUCAUCCCGCUUCUUCCAGAUCUAAUUUAAAGAAUGGAUCAAUACAUGCAUAUAUAUGAAUAAAACUCAACACAAUUGAAGGUAAUAUAUAAGAUAAAAUUGUGAAUAUUACUUACGUACUUCAAAUUGUUCGUCAGAGAUACCCCGCCCAGAGGUCGAGAGACGAAUGAACUCGCAUACGUAGUAUGCACAUUUUUCAGUCCCAACUACCUGGUACAAGCACUUUACGAGAAUAUAUAGAGUUCAAUCAAACUAAUAAGCAAGCAUGGUAAUGAUAUAUUGAUGAAAAUUUCAAUCAAUUAGAGAUGCGCGGAACUAGCUAGCUAGUACUACUUACUGGGGUGCGUAAACUGCAACUCUUUACCGCGAACCUUAUUCGUGAACUUCUUCCAAAUCCUGCCAGGAAAAUAAAAUGAAUACUUGAUAUCAGGAAAUUAAGGAAAUUUGCAUGCCGGUAUGGUCCCGGUAUUGAGUGAACUUACUUCUUAAGCAUUGCAGUCAUGUCCGCAUAAUCCUCGGACAAUUACUUUUGCCGCGUCAAGCUUAAUGGAUAACAGAAUCCAGUGGUAACUGUGCACACAUAUAUAACUCAUCAAUUACAUUUACUAAUUAACCUCGAGUAAGCGAAACCGAGUAUACAGAGAAGACAACAACACUCACCUGAAGUUGUAAGGAAAGAGUAUUUCCCUUUUGUUUCGAUUUACAAGCAACGAAUUUAACAACUUAACAUCGGUCUCUUUGGUUUCAUUUCGUACCGACAAUACAUUUACCGAUUCUGGGCUAAUGAACCCAACGUCGAAGAUUCCUACUUUUCUUCAUUCGGCGAUCUUCAAUCUGCAUAAUAUAUAUAGUGAGGACAAUUAUAGAUACAUGCAAUGAACGAGCUGAUCUAGAGACUUAACUAUAAAAGUAAUACUUACAAACAGUAGCAAGUCAGGAGUUGUUUGUUGAGGGAUAGGUCAUUGUAUAACUGAAAUAACUCCUCAAAUUCAACAAGCACCACUGUAGCUCCAAUAAAUUUUCUCCUUGAAGAUGUUCAUGUACCACUCAUGCAAUUCGUGCAUCCUCGGUGUUAGAGGAGGAUGACCAGGUUUGACAAGAGGCUUCCCGAGCACGAAUUUAUAUAAUUUUUCUUUUAUUACCUCGUCCAUCUUAAAAAUUACUGAAUCGCUCACGUAAUCACCAGGAUUGGUACCGGGCAGCAACCCCGAAUCAUUAGCGACGACGAUAUCGCUAGACACCUUGAGUGGGGGGCACGAUUGCUUCUUCUGUUGGUCAAGCUGGGGAAUUGUUUUCCCACUUCUUCAUUUUGCUAACAUUGCAUCACUGCUAGCCGCCAGAGCGACGGUGGAGUCUGUCUUCCGCUUGAGAGAAGGAGGAGGAGGCGGCAUCUUUCUUACUUGUAUAACUUUCGGCGGAGCGGCGACGACGUCUGUCUUCUGCUGUUGCAGAGGAGGCGGACUGCUCCGACGCGCCUGAGGAGGAGCCGAAGGAGGAGGACUUCUCCGACGCGCUGGAGGAGGAGCCGAAGAAGGAGGUGGACUGCUCCGACGCGCUGGAGGAGGAGCCGAAGAAGGAGGCGGAGUGCUCCGACGCACCGGAGGAGGAGCCGAAGGAGGAUGACUGCUCCGACGCGCUGGAGGAGGAGCCGAAGAAGGAGGCGGAGUGCUCCGACGCGCCAUAGGAGGAGACAAAGAAGGAGGCGUACUGCUCCGACGUACCGGAGGAGGAGUCGAAGAAGGAGGCGGAGUGCCCUCACGCGCCGGAGGAGGAGCUGAAAAAGAAGGCGGAGUGCCCUCAUGCGUCGGAGGAGCCGGAGUGCCCUGAUCAUUCGCUGGAGGAGGAUGAGGAGUGCCCUGAUCAGUCACCGGAGGAGUAUGAGGAGUGCCCUGAUCACUCGCUGGAGGAGGAGGAGGCGUCCAGUUUGGAAGAUUGAUGCACUCCUUCGGCCAUAAACAUGUACUCCUCAAAGCAUGAACCAGCUUAUUCUCAUCUUCACAUGUAGGGUGGUCAAGCUCGAGCUGCUCAAAAUCCUUCUUUACUUCAUCCACCAUCACAAGAGCAUAACCACGUGGAAUCGGACGGCAGUGAAAAGUUCCGUUGGAUUGAGGACGUGCAACAAUGCCGAUAGCAGCCUUGAAAGUGAGGUUCCGGCAUUUUGUCAAAAGCUCGCAAGGUUGAGACUCCUUGAUAGUAUACACGGGGUAGCUAGGAGCCGUGAAGUCAGACGACCACGCUGCUUCUCCGCUGAGAUGGCGGGAUAAAUUCUGGGGUAGUUUCGUGCCGCUGAGAUGGUUGGUCGACAGCUCGCUGGCUUUGAAGUUCCUCUAGAAUUUGUAGUCUUGCAUUGAUCUUCUGCAUGUCUCUCAGCUCCGCUUUCCUCUUUCUCGCUCGGAUUCUGUAACCGGCUGCGUCGGGAAACCCAACCUUCCACGGAAUAGAGCCUGGUGUGCCUCGUGUUCGUCCAGGGUGCUCAACAUUCUCUAGGGCCUCGGUCAGUUCGUCCUUCUCUCUUUUGAGAAAGAACGCCCCUUCCUACGCUGCGGUGAUACACUGCUGAAUCUUGUUGAUGGGUGUUGCAAGUUGCUCGUCCGUCCAACGACACUCCCCUGUUUCAGGGUCCAAAUUUCCCCCAACUCCGAAGAACCAAUUCCUUGAUCGGUCGGGCCAGUUCCAUGUCUGUGGUUGGACCCCUUUAGCAAUGAGGUCAUUCUCAGCUUUGUCCCACAACGGACGACCUUUGAGGUAGCCACCCAACCCCGUGUGAUGGUGAUACUGCUUCUUUGCAGCAUUGUUCUUGUUUCUCUCUGACAUUUCCUUACUCUAAUCCGAUGACUUGUAGGCCACAAAUGCGGGCCAGUGAUCUCUAAUCUUCUCAAAUCGGCCGACGAAUUCUGGAGUCUUCCCUUGGUCGACAUACUUUGAUUUCAACUCUUUCUUCCACCUCCUGAAUAGUUCUUCCAUCUUCUUAAGAGCACACGCCUUGACCAGUGGCUCUAUAACUGGGUUAUUCGGAUCCUCCUCUGGUGGUAGGGUGAAAUUUUUCCUUCAACGCGGUCCAAAGAUAAUCUUUCAGCCUAUCAGUGACAUAAUGACCUUCAGGGAGGUUGUCGCCCUUAGGCUUAUUCCAUUGCUUGAUGCUUAUCGGGAUGUUUUCCCUGACAAUAGCUCCGCACUGAGUAGAAAAUGCGUCCCUGGUCUGCUUGGGUUCAAUCGGUUGGCCAUCGUUCGACAGUUCUGUGAUCGUGAACUUUUGAUCCUUGCCCAACCUUCUCGUCGGGCCUCGUCUCGUUACCGAAGUUUGGCCCGAUCCGGACUUUUCAAUAGCUCCCUCCUCCGUUCGGUCACCGGAGCCGUCAUCAUGGUCUCCUUCCUCCAGGAUUCGGUAGUAACCGAAGCCAUCAUGAUAAUGUCCUUCCUCCUCCAUUGUUCGAUCACCGAAGCCAUCAUGAUAAUGUCCUUCCUCCAGGAUUCGGUAGUCACCGAUGUCGCUGACCAAAAGUUCGACAUUACUACCGUCGCCGUGGAUUAUAUCCCCCAAAAUUUCUUCUUUUUCCAUGUCUCUUUGGAAUAUCCAUUGUUUCUGGAAAUAUUACUAAGUGGGGGGGGAAGCCCUUUAUACAUAAUCCCAAAUAUUAACAUGAAAACUUAAUUUGUAACUUAAUCUAAUCUAAAUAUUUUUAUAAUUUUUAUAACUUUAUUUGCUAUUGAAACUGAAUAUAAUCUAAAUAUUUUUAUAACUUUUAUAACUUGUGUCACAUUGGGGAGUUAAAAAAUGUACCCAACAUAUUCUAAUAUGACUGUAAUACACACACAGGGAUUCACAAUUAGACUACGUCCUCUCACACACAUAGAUUCGCAAAUAGGGAGAUGGAGAGAUCAAUGGACGUGCUACCGGUGCGUCGACGGGCAACGAUGGUGGGCUUCGGAACGACGACGGGCGACGACAACGACGGCGAUGGGCACGGGGGCUACGGCAACGACGACGACGACGACGAUGGGUGGAGACGGGUGACUACAAUGACUGCAAUGGGCUCGGGGGUGACGGCGACGGUGAUGGGCUCGGGGACAACAGCGACGACGAUGGGCUCGGGGGCGACGGCGACAACGACGGGCUCGGGAGCGACAGUGACAGUGAUGGGCUCGGGGCGACGACGGGCUCGUGAGCGACGGCGACGGCGACGACGGGCUCGUGGAGGAGACGCGGGCCGGCGGCGACGGGCUCGGGUGCGACGGUGAGGAAGAGAGAACGGGGGGGAUGGAAGUUGGUGGAAAUUUCGACAACUCCCACAAUAUACGAACACCUUUGUUCCGGCUGGUGGCCCCAACCGGGACCAAAGCACACCUUUAGUCCCGGGUUGUUACACCAACCGGGACUAAAGGUCAAUUUCGACAACUCCCGCACUAUAUGCAAAAACCUUUGGUUUCGGUUUGUGGCACCAACCGGGACCAAAGCCACACUUCCGAUGGCCCAAAAGGGCGGGAAGAAGAGUACUUUCGUACCGGUUGUUGGCUAGAACCGGGACAAAAGGUCCGUCGGCCCAUUUGAUAUUUUUCAUACAUUUACUGAUUUUUGUUUUGAGCUAAAUGACUCUUAAAUUUGAAAAGCACUACAAAUGAACUCUGAAAAUGUUGAAAGUUGGCAUGGUAUAAUCAUUUCACGCACAUGGCAUGUGCUAAAAAGUUGAGAGGGUUGCGGCAAAAACUAGAUGCACAUCGUGUUCAAAAGAGACAGUCUCCUUCGAAGUAUUAGGGUUUAAUACGAAAACUCAUCUGUUACAAAGGGAUUUCAUUUUUUUGAACUUAUUUGAACUCCAGACUUUUUGUGUGUUCAAAAUUCACCAUUCAAAGACACAAUAUCCAUUUUAACUAUUUCUAACUUCAUUUGGUAUUUUCAUGCAUUUAGUGAUUUGUUUUGAGCUAAAUGACCAUUAAAUUGAAAAGCAUUACAAAUGAACUCUGAAAAGGUUGAAAGUUGGCAUGGUAUCAUCAUUUCACCCACAUAGCAUGUGCUGAAAAGUUGAGAGGGUUGCGGCAAAAACUGGAUGCACUUUGUGUACAAAACGGACAAUCUCUUUCAAAGUAUCAGGGUUUCAUACGAAAACUCAUCUGUUACAAAGGGAUUUCAUUUUUUGAACUUAUUUGAACUCCAGACUAUUUGUGUGUUCAAAAUUCACCAUUCAAAGACACAAUAUCAAUUUUUAACCAUUUCUCACUUCAUUUGGUAUUUUUCAUGCAUUUAGUGAUUUGUUUGAGCUAAAUGACCAUUAAAUUGAAAAGCACUACAAAUGAACUCAGAAAAGGUUGAAAGUUGGCAUGGUAUCACCAUUUCUACCCACAUAGCAUGUGCUAAAAAGUUGAGAGGGUUGCGGCAAAAACUGGAUGCACUUCGUGUACAAAACAGACAAUCUCUUUCGAAGUAUGAGGAUUUCAUAGGAAAACUCAUCUGUUACAAAGGGCAUUUCAUUUCUUCACUUUUUCUUCUCUUGUGUUCCUUUCUUAUUUCACCGUAAGCGUGGAUAAUCUUCAUCGUUUAAUAGGGUGCUUGGGUCAGCCUUGACUUUGAAGGGAUGAAUUUCAUGAAACUUUUCAUAAUCUUCAGACAUGUCUGUCUUGCCCUACAAUCCCACGAUGUCUCUUUUUCCUAAAAGAACUAUGUGGUGCUUUGGCUCAUCGUAUGAUGUAUUCGCUUCCUUAUAUUUUCAUAUUCUCGGUUUGGUAGACAUGUCCUUCCUAUAGAAAACUGCGCCACAUCAUUGGCUAGGACGAAUGGUUCCUCUCCGUGUGCAAGAUUGUUCAGAUCCACUGUUGUCAUUCCAUACUGUGGGUCUAUCUGUACCUCGCCUCCUGACAGAUUGACCCAUUUGCAAUGAAACAAAGGGACCUUCAAAUCAUGUCCAUAGUCAAGUUCCCAUAUGUCCACUAUGUAACCAUAAUAUGUGUCCUUUCCCCUCUCGGUUGCUGCAUCAAAGCGGACACCGCUGUUUUGGUUGGUGCUCUUUUGAUCUUGGGUGAUCGUGUAAAAUGUAUUCCCAUUUAUCUCGUACCCUUGGUAACUCAAUACAGUCGAAGAUGGUCCCCUGGCCAAGGAGUACAACUCAUCAGAAACGGUGUUGUCACACAUAAGACGUUUUUGCAACCAACUAUUGAAAGUCCUGAUGUGUUCAAAUGUAAUCCAGUUGUCACACUACUCCGGGUGUAUGGAGCUCAGAAUAUUCUUGUGUUCAUCGACAUACGGGGUCACCAAGGUAGAAUUCUGUAGAACUGUGUAGUGUGCUUGAGACCAAGAAUGCCCGUCCGUACACAUUAUUGACUCCGCUCCUAGUGUGCCUUUUCCAGUCUGUCUCCCCUCAUACCGCGAUUGAGGGAGACCAUUCUUCUUAAGGUCAGGAAUGAAGUCAACACAAAGUCCAAUGACAUCCUCUGUUUGAUGGCCCAUGGAGAUUCUUCCUUCUGGCUUAACGCGGCUACGAACAUAUUUCUUUAAGACUCCCAUGAACCUCUCAAAGAGGAACAUAUUGUGUAAAAAUACACGGCCCAGAACGACAAUAUCGUCGACUAGAUGAACUAGGAUGUGCGUCAUGAUAUUGAAGAAGGAUGGUGGGAACACCAGCUCGAAACUAACAAGACAUUGCACCAAAUCACUCCUUAACCUUGGCAGGAUUCCUGGAUCGAUCACCUUCUAAGAGAUUGCAUUGAGGAAUGCACAUAGCUUCACAAUGGCUAAUCGAGCGUUUUCCGGUAGAAGUCCCCUCAAUGCAACCCGAAGCAGUUGUGUCAUAAUCACGUGGCAGUCAUGAGACUUUAGGUUCUGAAACUUUUUCUCUGCCAUGUUUAUUAUUCCCUUUAUAUUCGACGAGAAGCCAGACGGGACCUUCAUACUGAGCAGGCAUUCAAAGAAGAUUUCCUUCUCUUCUUUGGUAAGAGCGUAGCUGGCAGGACCUUCAUACUGCUCUGGUUGCAUGUCGUCUUUUUCAUGCACACGUUGAUGUUCCUCCCGUGCCUCCGAUGUAUCUUUUGUCUUACCAUACACUCCCAAGAAGCCUAGCAGGUUCACGCAAAGAUUCUUCGUCAUGUGCAUCACGUCGAUUGCAGAGCGUACCUCUAGGUAUUUCCAAUAGGGUAGGUCCCAAAAUAUAGAUUUCUUAUUCCACAUGGGUGCGUGUCCCGCAUCGUCAUUCGGAACAGAUAGUCCGCCAAGACCCUUUCCAAAGGUUACUUGUAAAUCAUUGACCAUAUCAAGUAUGUGAUCACCAGUACGGAGGGCGGGCUUCUUCUGGUGAUCUGCCUCACCUUUGAAAUGCUUUCCUUUCUUUCGACAUUGAUGGUUGGUCGGAAGAAAUCGAUGAUGCCCCAUGUACACAUUCUUCCUGCAUUUGUCGAAAUAUAUACUGUUGGUGUCAUCUAAAUAGUGUGUGCAUGCGUUGUAUCCCUUGUUUGUCUGUCCUGAAAGGUUACUGAGAGCAGGCCAAACGUUGAUGGUUACAAACAGCAACGCAUGUAGAUCAAAUUCCUCCUGUUCGUUCUCAUCCCACACACGUACACCAUUUCCAUUCCAUAGUUGUAAAAGUUCAUCAACUAAUGGCCUUAGGUACACAUCAAUGUAUUUGUCGGGUUGCCUAGCGCCUUGGAUGAGCACUGGCGUCAUAAUAAACUUCCGCUUCAUGCACAACCAAGGAGGAAGGUUAUACAUACAUAGAGUCACAGGCCAUGUGCUAUGCUUGCUGCUCUACUCCCCAAAAGGAUUAACGCCAUCUGCACUUAAACCAAACCAUGCAUUCCUUGGGUCACGUGUAAAGUUGCUUCACUUCCUCUCGAUCUUUCUCCAUUGCGACCCGUCAGCGGGUGCUCUCAACUUUCCGUCUUUCUUACGGUCUUUUAUAUGCCAUUGCAUCAACUCGGCCUGCUUUUUGUUUCUAAACAUAUGUUUCAACCGUGGUAUUAUAGGAGCAUACCACAUCACCUUGGCAGGAACCAUCUUCCUGGUGCGCUGGCCCUCAACAUCACCAGGGUCAUCUCAUCUGAUCUUAUACCGCAAUGUGCCGCAUACUGGGCAUGCGUUCAAAUCCUCGUAUGCACCACGGUAGAGGAUGUAGUCAUUACGGCAUGCAUGUAUCUUCUGCACCUCCAAUCCUAGAGGGCAUAGAACCUUCUUCGAUUCAUAUGUACUGUCGGGCAAUUUGUUAUCCUUUGGAAGCUUCUUCUUCAUUAACUUCAUUAGCGAACUAAAUGCCUUAUGAGAUACACCAUUGUGUGCCUUCCAUUGCAGCAAUUCCAGUGUGGUACCGAGCUUUGUGUUGUCAUCUUCGCAAUUUGGAUACAACCCUUGUUUGUGAUCCUCUAACAUGUGAUCGAACUUCAACUUUUCCCUUUCACUUCCGCAUUGUCUAUGUGCAUCAACAAUGAACCGACGAAGAUCAUCAUUGGGCACAUCGUCUGGUUCAUCUUGAUCUUCAGCUUCCCCCAUUGCAGCAUCACCAUAUUCAGGGGGCCGGGUAGUUGUCAUCAUCCUCUUCUUCUACGUUGUCUUCCAUCAUAACCCCUCUUUCUCUGUGCUUUGUCCAAACAUUAUAGUGUGGCAUAAAACCCUUCUAAAGCAGGUGAAGGAUUUUAUAGUCGGAGAAUUCCUUUGUAUUCCCACAGACAGUACAUGGACAAUGCAUAAAACCAUUCUGCUUGUUUGCCUUAGCCGCUUCGAGAAAAUUAUGCAGGCCAUUAAUAUACUCGGAGGUGCGUCGGUCACCGUACAUCCAUUGAAGGUUCAUCUGCGUGCGUUAUAUAACAAAGUGUAUUAAAAACUACACAAAUCUUGAUGAAAAUGGAGUUUGGACAAGGAGCUUCUAAAGGAGAAAGCUUAAGUAUGGCUCGGGCAUUUCAUUGAACACCUCAUGUGCAUAGGAGGUGAGCUAGAGCACCACAAAGCUCUCCCAUGGCCGGCCGAAAAAACAGAGCAGUGCACUUCUCUGCUCGCGAGGGUAUAUGUAGGCCAAUCGUUGGUCCCAGUUAUUGGCUGGAACAGAGACCAAAGGACAACCUAAGGUCUCGGUUCCAGCCACAAACUGGGACUACUAGUUGUGGGCCAGGAGCGAGGCACAUUGGUCCCGGUUCGUGUCUGGAACCGGGACCGAAGGUGACAAACGAACCAAGACAAAUGGCCCACAAGGCCCGGCCGGUGCCCUGGCCUCACGAACCGGGACCUAUCACCACAUAGGUCCCGGUCCAUGAGUGAACCGGGAUUAAUGGGAUUUCAUCAAGUGGACCAAAGCCCUAUUUUCUACUAGUGACAUGAAACAUUAGAUGAGUAUGCCAUACAUGGCAUCGAACAACCAAAUGGGAUGGGAAGUUCAUUACAUUGCAUCGGACAACCAAAAGACAGAGCUAGUUCAACACCGGAUUCUACUACUACUUCAUAUAUAGUCCUUCUUGUCCUUUUUAGUCUUCAUCCAAAGUCAAAGUAUCUCUACUUUGACCAAAUUUAUAGAAAAAGUAUCAACCUUCAUAAUGCCAAAUAAAUAUUCUUAGAUCCAAUGUGAAAUGUAGUUUCAUAGUAUAUAUAUUUGGUAUUGUAGAUAUAGAUAGUUUUGAAUAUAAAUUUGUUCAAAGUUUGCAAACUUUGACUUAACAGAAAUCUAAUACGCGGAGUAAAAAGGACCAGAGAGAGUACAUAUACUAUGAAAUUAUACUAGGAAAAGAGAAUACCACCGCUUUGACUUGCCAUGCCCCUUGUCAUAUCUAGGGCGGUGGUAGUACAUGGUGAAGACCGCGCGAGGGUCAUCGCCCGAUGAGCGUUAGAGUAGGAGGAGCUGGUGAUGCAGGAGGAUGGGGAGGGGUAGGGGGCGGUGAGGAGUCAGGCGAUGCAAGCCCGCUCUACGACGGGCUUUUGUUAUCGUCUUCACUUUCCGAGCCACUUCCCACUCGAUGCAUCGAUGCCCUCUCGCAAUGCCUUCACAUUUUUGCGGCAACGAGUGUUCGUCAUUGUGGAGAUCAAUGACCAGCGCAUUACUUCAUGUAAUACAUGGUCAUCGAAGUUGGGCAGGAGACCAACAAUUGUAGCGGACUAGCUAGAUCGAACCUUGUCACAAGCCUUCUGCCGAGCACGCCACACUGCCCGCGUCAAAGGCUCGGAGGACGCCACCGAGCAUCAAUUUGUUGGAGAUAUGCCAUAGAGGCAAUAAUAUUGUAUUUUGCAUUUCCAUAUUCAUAGUUAAGACUUUAUAUUCUAUGCCAUAACUGCUAGGAUCCUAGAAUAUGUGAUUCAGUGGAAAACUCAUAUGCAUGUGUGGAAUAGUAAAUGGUUAAAUAGAGAUUCACAGUGUUGCCUCUAAUACUGGCUCAAGUGUAGUGGGUGAUCUCAUUUUUUGGAUCUUAGGAUAUCAUCAUGUGCAAUGAUGAUCUUAAAACAACAUUGAGACUACGACAUUAGAACAAUGAUCAUAUUGAAUCGACCAAAUACUUGUUUGUUAUACUUUGAGAUAAUAUCUUCUCAAAUCAAUUGGUAUAACACAAAGUGUUAACAUGUGUUUUAUGUUCCUUAUACCAUGACAGUGUCGUAGUCACUUCUUAUCAUAUGCCGAGCUUUGGGGUUGCUCAAACAUCAUUUGUACCUAGGUGAUCAUAACGACAACUUACACGUUCAUCAGAAAUUUUGACAGGGGACUAGAUAGUUCGAGAGUGGGAUUUUCUCCUCCAAUGAUGGAGAGUUAUUAUUAGGGCCCUCUCCGUGUGACAAAAUCAAUCAUCAUAUGGCCAGACACAGGUGACUUAGUCACGUGGACGCCUAAACAUGAAAACGAGAAAGAAGAACAAAAACAGCAACGAGGAUAACAGUAUAGUGAGUGUGUGAUGACUCAUGAGGAUAUGGAUGCAUCUCGGGUUUAAAAGUAUCGCAAAGAAAAUUUAAUGUCACAUGGUAAUCAAAGGUUCACUCUAAUAUCAUUCAUGUGCUCAUAGGGAUCGAUAUGGACGUCCACGGUCCCGCUACCGGUCAUUGAACAAAGGGGUUUCGUUCAUGAGUUAUCGAACCUACGGGGUCACAAGACUAAGGCUAUCACAAUCUUCUGAGUGUUAGUAGUACGGGGGAGAUGAGAACAUGUUUUUGAAAUUGUUUCAUUAUUGUAUGAAAUAGUUUCGAGAGGACCCGGAAGCGUUUCGGGGUCACCAUAAGGGCCCCGGAGAGUAUCGGGUAAUACCGGCGAUUGCUGAUAAAUAAUAUAUAGGUGGAAAUGUUUUGUAGCAUGUUAAAUUAUAUAUAAAAUGGACUGAAAGUGUUAAGAAUAAUUUUAUAUUUUAUUUAAUAAUAAUGGGCCUUAAAAGACCAAGAGGUGGAAGGCAACUUGGGCCACAAGAGCCCAAUGGGAAGGUGCCUCCCUUCCCUAAGGAAGGGGGCCGAAUUGAUGAGGGGGAGGAGUUGGACUCCUCUUCCCUUGUCCGGCCAAAAGGGAGGGACUCAUUCCCCUUGUGGCGCCCUCCUUCUCUCCUCCAACCUAUAUAUACUCGAGGUAUUUGCACCUAUUGUAUACACAAGUUUUGGAGCCGCUUCUAGUUCAUCUAGUUCUAGUUCUAGUUGGUCCUAGUUGACUAAUCAGAGCUCGGUCUAGUUCCUCAAAUCCUCAUAAUUAGAAGGCUAGUGUGAUUCUAAUCUUCUCCCUCUAAUUCUCAAGUGACGAUUAGCUUUGGAUGACAAAGCGAUGUCGGAUCAUGAAGAUCGUACACUUGCAACCAAGUAGAGAGGUUGUGUUUUUGUCUUCGGUUCGAGGGAUUGUUCAUCUAUGAUUCAAGGAACUCCAAGCUUGGUCUUCAUCAUCACGUUCUUGUUUUGCUCCUACUCGGUGAUGGUAACGGUCGUGAUCCCAACCAUUAUUAUAUCUUCAUAGUGUUCCUCGUUGCUUGCGUGGCGUUUUUUGUUUUCUACUAUGUUUCCCAACACCAACAAUGCCCAAGAAUGCAUGCUGGCGACAACACACCAUAUACACAUGAGCAGCGUCGGGACACCAAGGACGGUGUGGAGUGCCUUAACUAACAACUCCAUUCACCCUAUCCGCAACUUGGGACGGUGCGAAGCUCAAAGAGUCUCCAUAGUCAACCCACGAGCGGUGGAGGGCCAGCUACUCGUCGGACAAUUAGAGCUAGAAUCCUCCGCCACCACCAUAUCCCAAUCAAUGGGGCUUAAUCGGAUCUUGAUCCACUACCGGAGCUGUAUAUGGUGGCUUGGGAUGGUGAGGACUAGAUGACAAGGAGGGAGUAGAGCAAUCGAGAGUGAGGGCUAGGGUUUGGUCCGGGUAGGAUAGAGUGGGGUUUAUGUGGUGUCAGAGUGGGACCAAUAGGGGUUGUUUUACGUGGUGUGUUACACAAUCUCGGGUCCGCUAACACCAGCCUUUCCGACCCACAUGCAUCAACAGGACAAACAGGAGAGCAACACCGACUUAUGACAGGCCUGGGGCCCUCUCCCCCCAAAAGACUAGCCUUUUAGGAGGGGACACCCUCACCCUUAUAAGUCGUGUUAUGUCUCCUCCCACAACCAAUGUGGGACUAAACCCAACAAUCUCCCCCUCACACAUCGCUCACCCAUGGGCCCGCUAAUACCAGCGUCUCCAGCCCACCUACCAUGACCGACCACCCGUGAGUCCACCGAGAUUUAUUCUGGGCACCUGGGCUCUGAUACCACUUGUUACACAAUCCCGGGUCCGCUAACACCAGCGUUUGCGACCCACAUGCGUCAACGGGCCCAACUGGAGACGUUCUCUUCGUACAAGUCUGGUGAUUUUGGUUUAGCCUAUAUGAGCGAUGACACUGGUUAUCGUGUUGUACAUCGGUUGUGGGAGGAGAAGUUACACGACUUAUAAGGGUGAGGGUGUCCCCUCCUAACAGGCUAGUCUUUUGGGGAGAGAGGGCCCAAGGCCUGUCAUAAGUCGGUGUUGCUCUCCGGUUGGGCCUGUUGACGCAUGUGGGUCGGAAACGCUGGUGUUAGCGGACCCGAGAUUGCGUAACAAGUGGUAUCAUGAGCAAGGUUACGACGAGGUCGUUGUGCAUUGAUCUAGAGGAUGAAGAACAAUUGGAAGCAGUUGGAUCGAAAGCUUUACGGCGGAAGAAUUGCGAGGCUACGAAGUAGAUCGGUCAAAAUAUCAGUCGAUGAUGUGGCAGCGACGUGUGGUCGUUCGUCGUACAAGCGACAUCUCGAUUGGCUGGGCUUUUGGCGUACAUGCAAGUCGCGCGUGGUGUUGGGAGAGGCCCAGGUGCAGCGAUAUAUCUCCUGUCAAAUCGCGCGUGGCGUUGGCAGAGGCCCAGGUGCAGCGAUAUAUCUCAUGUCAAAAAGCUAUCAUACAUAGCAGCAUAAUUAGAUUUGUUUGGAAACAAAAAUUAACAAGACCGAGUCCUGGAAGAACUCGUGUUGGACAGGAACCUGGAGGUGCGCUAUUAUAUAUAGCCGCAAGGGCCGGGCACCUGAUGUGACGAAAAUAACAGCAGAUCAACCGGCAAAGAAAGUCCAUUGAUACGCAUUAGUACAUCGGAAAGCAUCAGGCUUUGGCAAAGCAAUUAACAUCAAGCGUCCAGAUUUGUGCUUUCGAGUAGAUCACGUGGAAGGCCAAUUUAUUUUGGUGGAUUGCUACUAGUGCACAGAGGCGAGACCAUGUGGGUUUUGCUCGUGCACUUCAGCAUCACGGGGAUAACUCGGGUAUUUUUUCACACAAUCAGCCGUACAAAGAACCAUGGCGCCAGUGGGUACCAGGUUUGAGGUGGAGAAGUUCGACGGGACUGGAAGCUUUGGGUUAUGGCAGACAAGGGUGAAAGAUUUGUUGGGAGAACAGGGAUGCUUGAAGGCGUUGUUGCAGGAAGCCAAGCCAGCUAAGAUGGAGGCUGAGGACUGGGAGGAGUUACAGUUGAGGACAUCUGGAACUAUACGGUUGUGUCUGUCGGACCAGGUUAUUUAUCAUGUGAUGGAUGAGAAUUUGCCGAAGAAGAUCUGGGAGAAGCUGGAGAGUCAAUUUAUGUCCAAGACUGCUACGACCAAGGUGUAUCUGAAGCAAAAGUUGUAUGGGAUGAAUAUGCGGGAGGGGUCAGAUCUUGUGGAGUAUAUGAACGCCUUUAAUCAAGUCGUGAUAGAUCUAGCACGCUUGGGUGCAACGAUUGACGACGAGGAUAGGGCAAUUCUGCUUCUUUGUUCAUUGUCAUCAUCCUAUGACCAUUUGAUCACUACUUUGACGCAUGGCAAGGAGACUGUCAAGAAUGAGGAUAUUACUGCAGCCUUGCUAUCUUAUCAUAUGAGAAAGAAGAAUGCAGUGGAAGUCUCUCAUAGUGAAGGUUUGCUAGUCAAGGGUGAAGCGUAGCGAAAGGGAUAUGAGGCAGGGAAGAAAAAGAAAAGAAAAUAAAAUACAGUGUCACAAGUGUAAGCAGAGGGGACAUAUUAAAAAGGACUGUCUAGAGCUUAAUGGUGGGUCAAGUGCUAAUAUGACAAUUCAUGGUGAUGACUCAGACAUCAGUAGUGAUGCCCUUGUAGUAUCAGACAAGCGGUCAACCAAAAGUGAAGCGUGGAUGUUGGAUUCAGCUUGCUCUUUUCAUGCGACACCCAACAAGGAGUGGUUCUCUUCGUACAAGUCUGGUGAUUUUGGUUUAGCCUAUAUGGGCGAUGACACUGGUUAUCGUGUUGCUGGAGUAGGUGACAUUAAAAUAAAGAUGUUUGACGGAGUUGAGCGGAUGCUUCGGGGAGUCAGGCAUGUGCCGGGGUUAAGGAGGAAUCUAAUUUCGCUUGGAGUUCUUCAUGAUGGUGGUAUGGUAUUCCGUUGUGAUCGGGAUAAUAAGACCAUGGAAAUCAUGGAAGAUAAGGUGACUGUGAUGAUUGGAGCGAGGAAAGCUUCACAUCUUUACAAGUUGCAAGGAAGCACUAUUGCAGGUGGAGUCACGGAGACUGGAAUUGCAGGAGUAGCAACAGGAUCCCACGGAGGCGGCGGGUCUGGGGAAGAAUCAUCGGGUAGCUCUCGGUAAGCUACAAAGAAGACAACACAAGUCCGGAGUACACGGAAGUUUGACGCAUGGACACAUUCAAAGGGGUGAAGAAUAUUCGCCAAGGUGGAGUUUGUUAGAGUUGUGUCGAAUAUUGUGUACGAGUUGGGUUACAUAUGGACUUGGUGUUGUAGUUUGGGUAGGAUACAUGUAGUGUUGUAGUCGGACAUGUUGUACCCUUGGCCUCUUAUAUAUGAGGAGGCACCCCACGUUGUAACCUAUGACUACUAGAUAGCGACAGGCUCGCAAGGGGGGAGCCGGGGCUUGUGCCGACGCCCGGGUGGCCGGUGUUGCGGUAUCUCGGGGAGGAGCGCCCGUAGUCAUUGCCCCGGGGAGUAGGCGAGUUCGCCGAACCUCGUUAACAAAUCUCGGUCUCGUUAUUGUGCUGUGAUUGUUUGUCCCUCGGUGGAUCGACUACGUACCUCGGAUUUAUUCGUAACAUGGUGGACGUGUCUGCGCAUGUGUGAGCCGCCCAAAUCAGCUACAGAUAUGAGCUGAAUUUGAGGGGCGUUGAACGAUCGUGAACAUUUAGGCUCGAUUUGAAGGGUUAACUUGGACGAGGUCGAGAAGUCUCAACUUGAGUAAAGGAUUUAUAAAUGUUGGGUUAUCCAGAGUGUCCACGUGGAUAAAUAAAGGGAAUAUAUAGGGUCUAACGGAGAUCAUCUUUGAGACACGAAAGCAUUUCAAAACAUAGAACCAGACAACCAACAUUCAAGCCAACUCCAACGCGCUGAUGCAUUUGAUCUGCACAUGUCCGUAUAUGCCGAAAUGGACAGAAGCGACGUCUCAACAUGUUGACGCAUCCACAAAUGUGGUCCGCUCAAUGACCGUCUCGACAAAUAUCAGGAUCAAAUUUGCGGCCGAUUUGCAUCCACAAAGAGAACACAUGUCAUCUUUGUGUCCGUUCUAACUCGCAUGUUGGACUACCAACCAAUGCCCAAUCAUUGUGAAUGCAAACCAACCAUCUUAGGCCCGCUUGUCACCGACACGAAGAAUCCAGUCCACGUUCUUUUAAAUGGCCAUGCGUGCUCCCUUUCUGGCCGACACAAACCCUAGCCUCUGUCGUCGCCAUGGGCUUCGUCAUCCACAAGCAUGACCAUGAGGCUCGAUCUUCACGUAGCCCGGCCAAUUUAACGCUGGCGUCGGGAUGGGGGCGAUGACCAUGCUACCGACUCUACAUUUCGGUGCAUUGUGCUUAGUACCAAUGGGAGUACUGUGUCCAAUUGUCAUGGCUGAACAUCAACCUUCUACACAGUUGGCAUCUCGACAGCCAUUAGAUUCCGGUGACGGUCGUGCUGCAGUCUGGGCAUGUACGUGCAGUAGAGAUCUGCAACCUCCAUGCUCUUAUCGUGCCGGAGCAACACCGCGACCCUGCAUACAUGCUCGACUCCCUGAAUUGGGACAUCUAAUUCACGGUUGAGCACGCCAUGAGCCGUCGUGGCGUCGUCUAGAUCGACGAUCGCCCCCAUCGCCAUCGUCGAUGGAGAAGGAGGACGACAAAGAGGUGGCCUACCAAGCGGCACUGGAGGAGGCGAUCCAGCGCGCCAUCGAGGAGUCCAAGUGUGUGAAGGAUGCUCGGUGACCUAGCCUCAAGGAGGCGUUGCAGCAUUCGGUGGCCGGUGAGAACGUCUAUCCACUACGACCUUCAUCACCACCGCCAUCGUCCGCACCCGCGCCCAUGCUCGAGACGUAUCAAUGGGUGGGCGUUGUGCCCAGGUAUAUCUCUAGGUCGCCAGUUUGGCUAUGCGUGAUGGAGGAUGGGGAGCGAUAGUACCUUGCGCAGUGGGAGGGCCGCGCGGUGGUAUCAAAUUGGGCAGACUUGGAGCAUCCGAUGCAAUCAUUGUGCAAGGAGGAGGCCGAGCGGCGCGCGCAGGAGGAAAAGAUGCAGUGUCACGCAACGCCGCCACCGCCACCGCGUCAGCAAACGACACUGGCAGCCUACCAGCAUGCUUUCCCAUGGGCGGCGUUGCUGAGUACGUCGACCUAACCAUGGAGGGCAAGCAUGACGACGAUGAUGCCUAGGGCUGCGGGCUGGGGCACCGAGCGCAUGAGAGUGGUAUUUUUAGUUUAAAUAUUUUUUGUUUUAAUUAAUUAUUAAGUGGGCUUCGACCAGCAUUCCAAUAUGCAUGUUUUAUUUUAAAAAAUUUAUGCCUAUUGAGUUGUUUGUAAGUUGUGGCGUCGGCCAAAUGCUUUGGCCACAUUUGGGCGCCCCGAUGGCCCAAGGCCACAAUCGAACACAUUUGUCCGCUCGAACGACUCAAACAAGCAAAAAACAAAAAAUAUGUGUCUAUUUGCGCGUGGGUGGGGAUGCACACGUCUCGCAAUGCCUGGGCGACAGCCGGAGAAGUACAAAGACGAUGCCGGAGGAGGAGGAGGAUGAGGAUGCACUGCAAGAGGGAGUUGGGGUCGAGUGAAAGAAAAGUGACCCGAGAUGAGAAUUCGAGUGGAUCGGGGGUGUCGGAGUCCCACGUCAUUGCGGUUCAGAAUACCACAAAGCUCCCCAAUUUUGUGAUCGGUUUACAAAAAAUUAGACAAACGAACGCAUCCACGCACAAAUGCAUGUGUGUUGAAUGGCAAACUACACGGUUCAAACGUAUGUGGGCGUUUUGAGGGUCUACUUGAAGAUGCCUCGAGUGUUCUUCCUUUAUUUGUUCGGACCUACCGUUAUAAUUUUUCUGAAUAGAUGUUUCAAAAAUCUGAAAAUAAAUUAUUUGUGUUCACUAGACAUUUGUCCACAACCCUAUGCUUUGAGUUUGGAUCUGUAUUUCUGAAGAGCUGCGUACACAUGUGUGGUGAACAUUCGCGAUUAUUUUCUGAAUAUUUUAAUUUGAAUUUUUAUAAUUUGGAAGUAAGAGUGACACCUGAUACACUUAUACGACAUUUUCCGUGGCGGGGGUACCCAGAAUACGUGUCACCCGUUUCAGCCGUUAGCAAGCGUCGGUGCUGCCAUUGCCGACAGUCGACAUCUGGGGUUCCCUGUUCAGCAGGUAAUUAUCACAUUCAGAGGAAGGACACGUAUCUCCACGUUAUUGGCUAGUGCUUUCUUUCAUUUUUCUUUUUUGCAUAAAUCCACUUGCGAUUGUGACCACAAGAGCUUUAGCUGAUUCCAUAUCUGCCACUUUAUCUUAAAGAGGUAACCCGCUGAGAUUUGUGCGAACAAAGUUCAUUUCGUGACUGCGGUUCUUCACGGUCAAGCACUAAAAAAAGGGACAGAUAGACAUUAACACUGUCAGCCUGCUCUUAGUUCAAGUACCUUUACGAAGGAUUGUUAUAGAAAUUUGGAGGAUCAAAAUCAUAAGAAAUUUUUCUGUGUUAUUCGUCUGAUUAGUAGAAGUAAGUUUCAUAGGAAUUCUCAGGCAGCACUUUACACUAAACGAUUUUAAAAUAAUUUGUAUCCACUCAAAGCUCUUAGUAAUAACCAUGGAUUAGAAAGACUACGUUCAUUCUUAUCCUACACAAAAAUGAUUGUUAUCCUACACAAAAAAACUGAACAAGGUUAGUCUGUCUAAUACAAAAACUUCUAUUUUUCUACAACACUCAAAUAGAGAUUGAAGUGUGCUACUAUUUUACAUUACAAUUUUCUCUUCCCCUGUCUGUCUUAUUAUAUCCGAAGAUAUUUUCUUCUCCACUACCAAACUCAACCACACAAGUAGCUUUCCCUCUUGUCGCCGAUCCCAUCCACACCUUCCUCCACCUAUAAAAUCGAACCCCUACCAUCUAUCCUCUUCACUCCCUCUGCUACUAGCCUCACCACUCUUAAGCGACAAAAGAUUGUUGCUACCAGCACCUAAGCUUGAAUGGAGGGUGAGAAGAACUCGUCCGGGGACCUGAUGUCCAGCAGCAAGCUGGUCGCGGAGGCCGCCAGGACAGCCUACGAGAAGAAGAGCGUCGAGGGCAUCGACAAGGAAAAGGUAGCCGCCGCCUCCGCCGAUAUCCUGGACUCCGCCGCCAAGUACGGCAAGCUAGAGGACAAGCCGGUGGGCCAGUACCUCGAGAAGGCCGAGGAGUACCUGAAACAGUACAGCUCCGGCGGUGCAGAGAAGACUGAUGCACCUGCUGCCGCUGACGCACCGAAGCCGGAUGCACCCAAGGAGCCAGCGCCUGCGCCUGCACCUGCACCCGCCGUGGAGGAAGAGAAAUCGUCCGACGGGUUCGGUCUCGACGACGUCAUGAAGGGGGCUGCAUCGCUAUCAGGGAAGAAGGGUGACGGGGAGGAGAAGGAGAGCGGCGGCGGCGGCUUCAUGAAGAUGGCUCAGGGGUUCAUGAAGUAGAAGUCGGGUUUCUGCUUCUACUACAUGCAUGUAGCUCUUGCUAAGUUCGUGCGCUGCGUUCCUUUUUUGUAUUUUAUUACUGUAUAAAAUAAUAACGUCGUGGUUGCG
rnacentral:lncRNA from 1 species